AUUGAACGCUGGCGGCAGGCCUAACACAUGCAAGUCGAGCGGAGCGGCGGACGGGUGAGUAAUGCCUAGGAAUCUGCCUGGUAGUGGGGGAUAACGUCCGGAAACGGGCGCUAAUACCGCAUACUAUCAGAUGAGCCUAGGCCGGAUUUGCUAGUUGGUGGGGUAAAGGCCUACCAAGGCGACGAUCCGUAACUGGGCUGAGGGGAUGAUCAGUCACACGGGACCGUAGACACGGUCCAGACUCCUACGGGCGGCAACUGUGGGGAAUAUUGGACAAUGGGCGAAAGCCUGAUCCAGCCAAGCCGCGUGUGUGAAGAAGGUCUUGGGAUUGUAAAGCACUUUAAGUUGGGAGGCGUUACCAACAGAAUAAGCACCGGCUAACUUCGUGCCAGCAGCCGCGGUAAUUC
rnacentral:rRNA from 1 species